UAACAGGUAACGCUGAGGACGUCUGGCGGAACGUGCCGGUGACAAGCCGGAGGAAGGUGGGGAGUGACGUCAAGUCAUCAUGGCCCCUAUGUCCAGGGCUACACACGUGCUACAAUGGGCGAUACAGAGUGACGCGAAGCCGCGAGGUGGAGCAAAUCGCAGAAAAUCGCUCUCAGUUCGGAUUGGAGUCUGAAACCCGACUCCAUGAAGGUGGAAUCGCUAGUAAUCGCGCAUCAGCAUGGCGCGGUGAAUACGUUCCCGGGCCUU
rnacentral:rRNA from 1 species